rnacentral:rRNA from 1 species
UUGGAGGGCAAGUCUGGUGCCAGCAGCCGCGGUAAUUCCAGCUCCAAUAGCGUAUAUUAAAGUUGUUGCAGUUAAAAAGCUCGUAGUUGAAUUUCGGGAUUAGUACGUUGGUCGUGCCUUCGGUACGUACUGGUGUUACUGAUUCCUACCUUCUGACGAACCAUCAUGUCAUUAAUUUGGUGUGGUGGGGAAUCAGGACUGUUACUUUGAAAAAAUUAGAGUGUUUAAAGCAGGCUCGCGCUUGAAUACAUUAGCAUGGAAUAAUGAAAUAGGACGUUGACCCUAUUUUGUUGGUUUCUAGGAUUGACGUAAUGAUUAAUAGGGAUAGUUGGGGGCAUUAGUAUUCAAUUGUCAGAGGUGAAAUUCUUGGAUUUAUUGAAGACUAACUACUGCGAAAGCAUUUGCCAAGGAUGUUUUCAUUAAUCAAGAACGAAAGUUAGGGGAUCGAAGACGAUCAGAUACCGUCGUAGUCUUAACCAUAAACUAUGCCGACUAGGGAUCGGAUGAUGUUAUUUUAAUGACUCAUUCGGCGCCUUACGGGAAAC